GUGCCCUUGCUCUGGGGGCUCUCGUAAUCGAUUCGCCUGCGUUUGUGGUCUAACCGCUGCUCAUUCGCUGAGUGAGAGCGAUGACGUCUUCUGGUUCUCGGCAUCUGGAAAAUCAAAAAUUUUCGUGGGUUAUUUUUUAAUUUGUGGAACUUGUCAAGAUGAUUGCCAGUUUCUUUCUACGUUUUUGGAGGAAAAAAGACGGGAAAUCAUUCAGGUGGAGUUUAAUGAAACUAGCGAAGGAUGGAGGGAAAAGUGUUUCUCUCUUUCUCUCCUGGUUGAGGGUUGAGUCGUUUACUUACGUUGGGCAGACGAAAUAUGCUUGCUUGAUCCCAAAUGUAAUUGACGAUCGAUGACAACCAAGAGCGUG